AUUGAACGCUGGCGGAAUGCUUUACACAUGCAAGUCGAACGGCAGCACGGGGCAACCUGGUGGCGAGUGGCGAACGGGUGAGUAAUACAUCGGAACGUGCCCAAUCGUGGGGGAUAACGUAGCGAAAGUUACGCUAAUACCGCAUACGAUCUACGGAUGAAAGCGGGGGAUCGCAAGACCUCGCGCGAAUGGAGCGGCCGAUGUCAGAUUAGGUAGUUGGUGGGGUAAAGGCUCACCAAGCCAACGAUCUGUAGCUGGUCUGAGGGGACGACCAGCCACACUGGAACUGAGACACGGUCCAGACUCCUACGGGAGGCAGCAGUGGGGAAUAUUGGACAAUGGGCGCAAGCCUGAUCCAGCAAUGCCGCGUGUGUGAAGAAGGUCUUCGGAUUGUAAAGCACUUUCGACGGGGACGGAUGAUGACGGUACCCGUGGAAGAAGCCCCGGCUAACUUCGUGCCAGCAGCCGC
rnacentral:rRNA from 1 species